AUUGAACGCUGGCGGCAUGCUUUACACAUGCAAGUCGAACGGUAACAGGCCGCAAGGUGCUGACGAAUGGCGAACGGGUGAGUAAUGCAUCGGAACGUGCCCAGUCGUGGGGGAUAACGCAGCGACAGCUGUGCUAAUACCGCAUACGAUCUAUGGAUGAAAGCGGGGGACCGUAAGGGCUCGAGCGAUUGGAGCGGCCGGUGUCAGAUUAGGUAGGUGGUGGGGUAAAGGCCUACCAAGCCGACGAUCUGUAGCUGGUCUGAAAGGACGACCAGCCACACUGGGACUGAGACACGGCCCAGACACCUACGGGAGGCAGCAGUGGGGAAUUUUGGACAAUGGGCGCAAGCCUGAUCCAGCAAUGCCGCGUGCAGGAAGAAGGCCUUCGGGUUGUAAACUGCUUUUGUACGGAACGAAACGGUCUGGGUUAAUACCCUGGGCUAAUGACGGUACCGUAAGAAUAAGCACCGGCUAACUACGUGCCAGCCGCCGCCGUAACAC
rnacentral:rRNA from 1 species